rnacentral:rRNA from 1 species
GGUCCCAGUUCGGACUGCAGGCUGCAACCGCCUGCACGAAGCCGGAGUUGCUAGUAAUCGCGAAUCAGAAUGUCGCGGUGAAUGCGUUCCCGGGUCUUGUACACACCGCCCGUCACACCAUGGAAGUUGGGGGUGCCCAAAGCCGGCAAGCAAAUAUGCUGUCUAAGGCAAAACCAAUGACUGGGGUGAAGUCGUAACAAGGUAUC